ensembl:lncRNA
CAGGCAUUUACCACAGCCUUUUUCAGUUGAUGUUUGUUUCGGGAAAGUUCUCCUUAGAGUCUCCUCUUCAAAAGCUUCAAGGAUUGAUUUUCUCCCAAAGACAGCUCUCUGAUCUUCAUGUUGGCUUAUCCUUUUUUAACAACAAACGCAGUCAGUCUUCACAGACAUCAACGGGGCUAAUAAGCUGAAUGUGUACACAGAGAGAAAGGAGGAGGGAGUUUAAUCCAUCAGCGUAACCACAUAAAGAGGUCAGAGCAUGGAGAAAUUUGAACUGAAGAUGAUACACAACCACAUAAAAGCACUGAAAUGCAAAUACUUAGUAGGAACAGCAUGUACUGGA